rnacentral:tRNA from 1 species
GCCUGGGUAGCUUAGUCGGUUGAGCGUCCGACUUCAGCUCAGGUCAUGAUCUUACGGCUCGUGAGUUCGAGCCCCACGUCAGGCU